CCUACGGGGGGCAGCAGUGGGGAAUAUUGCGCAAUGGGCGAAAGCCUGACGCAGCGACGCCGCGUGGGUGAUGAAGGCCUUCGGGUUGUAAAGCCCUGUCGGGUGGAACGAACGAUCUGGCGGCGAAUAACCGCCGGGUGUGACGGUACCACCGAAGGAAGCCCCGGCUAACUACGUGCCAGCAGCCGCGGUAAGACGUAGGGGGCGAGCGGGGGUCGGAUUUACGUAGCCGAAAGGGCGAGUAGGUGGCGAAAUCCCUCGGCUUAACCGAGGUCACGCGUCCGAUACUGUCUGGCUCGAGUCUAGGAGAGGAAAGCGGAAUUCCCAGUGGAGCGGUGAAAUGCGUAGAUAUUGGGAGGAACACCGGUGGCGAAGGCGGCUUUCCGGACUAGUACUGACGCUGAGGCGCGAAAGCUAGGGGAGCGAACGGGAUUAGAUACCCUAGUAGUC
rnacentral:rRNA from 1 species